AGAGCUGACUCGUGGACAUUCUCAUUUCAGGUGCAGCUCAGUUGCCAUGAUGCUCCUUGAGUCAAUGAGCUCUUUGGUCUGCUCUUCUGCUCAAGCAGAAAAUGAUCUGCGCUUCACCCUUGAGAAGCUGACGAGAACCACAGGCUUCUUCAGGCAGGUGGUGGAACAUGGGUGUAUCCUGCAGGUGCUCACAGUAUCUCCCUUUGCUCAGGCUCUAGCCUGAUUUUCUGGCUCAUAAGGCCAAAGGGAGCUGGAAAGGUCCCCACGGCAGGACUCAUGGUGGAGAGAGAAUGGUCUAGAGGAUUCAGGCCUCUGCACACUGUGUCUGGGUCCCUCCUUAAACAAUGAUAAAGACAAGUAAAGAGCUUGAAGCAGCCUGGAGUCCAGCCAGAAACCUUUAACUGAGCUUUAAAGGAGAUGGUCACAACACUUUUCAGAAUACUGGCAAAGGCCUCCUGUGGCCAGGUUUGUCCUGGGAUGAGCAAAAUUUAAUGUUAACCUGCUGUAUCUUUGCUUUUAAUAUAUCUGCUUGCCCAUCACAAUGACGUUAUGGUUAAUUUCACCAAUUUGGUAACCUGCCUCAUGGGAAGUACGAAAGUAAGCAAGGGCCAGGUGUGGUGACUCACGCCUGUAAUCCCAGUACUUUGGGUGGCUGAGGCAGGUGGAUUGCUUGAGCCCAGGAGUUCAAGACCAACCUGGGCACCAUGACAAAACCCCGUCUCUAAAAAAUAUAUA
rnacentral:lncRNA from 1 species